UUACGGCCACAUCACCUUGAAACACUGGUUCCUGUACGAUCACCUAAGUUAAACAACAUCGAGCCUGGGUCGAACUUAGAUGGGUGGCCGCUUGGAAAUACCAGGUGCUGUAAG